rnacentral:pre_miRNA from 1 species
CUAACUCAAAUUUGUAUGCAGUUGGAACAGCGCCCCUAGCGGCAAACGUAGGCAAACGUUCCAACUUCAUACAAAUUUGAGUUA